rnacentral:tRNA from 1 species
GCCGAGGUGGCGGAACUGGCAGACGCGCAGGACUCAAAAUCCUGUAACCAUUAAGGUUGUGAGGGUUCAAGUCCCUCCCUCGGCACCA